UUUCGCUUUAACUGUAUUUGGUCAAAAUAGAUCAUGAACCUUUUUUUGUUAGGCUGCUGCUAUUGUGCAAAGUUUCUAUUUAUUAGGAUCCAAAGGGCUAACAGAUACACAUGCUUUUAAAAAAAUUCAAAUUUAUGUUUAGGGAAAAGGGACAAAAUUGUCCUUGCACUAUUCGUAGUUGAGCAACUUUGCCCUCUGUUAAACUUUUGGUUUAACAUUACCCGUUCCGUUAGGAAAAAGUAUCAUUUUUGCCCUUGACCCCUAAUGUAGCUCCAACCUGAGAGUAAUUUUAAACCAUAGUCAAAAGAUGGGUAAAUUUAGACCUUUUAUUUCCAGAAUUUGGACAUGUGGAAUCCAACCAUUUCGCUUUGGAGCUCCAUUAAUGGAAAGGGAAAAGACGAGACGAUUUGAUAAGAGUAAGGGAAUAAAUGGACCAAAAGCGUAAUAGAGGACAAAAUUGAGCAAUCUUGAAUAGUACGGGGGAAAAUUUGCACCUUUUCCCUUUUCUCUAUCAUAUUUUCGGCCUUGUACACAUGACAAAUACAUCUUUUUUACGACAAUGGGUACAGCACUUGUCUGGGUCCGAAGCUUCUUCAACUUGCAUGCUAAUAGUUAUCAUAACUUGCUUCUAGGUGUAUUUAGGUCUUCAUCACCAUAUUUGUUUAGUCACUUCAUCAUAACUUGCUUCUAGGUGUAUUUAGGUCUUCAUCACCAUAUUUGUUUAGUCACUUUCUUGCCAAACUUUACUUGUCAG
rnacentral:lncRNA from 1 species